rnacentral:lncRNA from 1 species
GGGGUGAGUAAUCUGACCCUGCCGUGCCCCGACUUCCCCAUGUGUAAAAUAGGGGAAAUGGUCACACUCGUGUCACAGGGACACGGUGCUGAUUAAAUGAGCUAAUACAUGCGACGCUACAACAACGCCUGAUGCGCAGAAGCACUACAGAGUGUGAACUACCAUCAUCCUCGUGUUUUCAGAUCUCCUCCACGGGUUCGCCGGUGUUUGCAGCUCCUGAUUUAAUGUUACAUCAGCCUCUGCCCCUUCAACCAUGGUGUCAUCCGUUCCUGGGAAAGUCUUCUCGAUUCCCCUGAUGGCUUGUUCCUGUUCCUGUUUCGUUCUGAUUGUUGUUCUCCUGAUGUCCGCAUGAAAGAACCACACUCAAAUGCAAACGUCCUCAGGAGGCGCAGGCUAAGUUACAGCAAUCAGUCCUCGAAAACUGCAAGAAAUGACAUGCAUUGUGUGCUCGCUCCCCGCCAGAAAACACUGUGAGCUCUUAGCUGUGCUACCGUCGUCACCACUGCCCCCCUCGGCCCCGAUCCGCAGUGUCAGUCACCUGCUGUCAACCACGGUCUGGAAGCAGGGGACCCUCCUUCUGACAUAUCAUCAGAAGGUCAGUAGUAGCCGAAAGCUACGCCCCAACGCCUUGUCACUCACCUCCCUACCUCGCAUCACAGAGCGAUUUUAUCGGCUCCCAUCAUCACGGAGAGAGCGGAAUGUUCAUCGCUGCCCUACAACAUAUCCAGAGGACCUGA